UUGGAGGGCAAGUCUGGUGCCAGCAGCCGCGGUAAUUCCAGCUCCAAUAGCGUAUAUUAAAGUUGUUGCAGUUAAAAAGCUCGUAGUUGAAUUUCGGGAUCAGCAGGUUGGUCGUGCCAAUGGUAUGCACUGGCCUUGCUGAUUCCUCCCUCUUGAUGAGCCGUAAUGCCAUUAAUUUGGUGUUGCGGGGAAUCAGGACUGUUACUUUGAAAAAAUUAGAGUGUUUAAAGCAGGCAAGCGCUUGAAUACAUUAGCAUGGAAUAAUGAAAUAGGACGUUUGAUCCUAUUUUGUUGGUUUCUAGGAUUGACGUAAUGAUUAAUAGGGAUAGUUGGGGGCAUUAGUAUUCAAUUGUCAGAGGUGAAAUUCUUGGAUUUAUUGAAGACUAACUACUGCGAAAGCAUUUGCCAAGGAUGUUUUCACUAAUCAAGAACGAAAGUUAGGGGAUCGAAGACGAUCAGAUACCGUCGUAGUCUUAACCAUAAACUAUGCCGACUAGGGAUCGGAUGAUGUUAAUUUUUAAAUGACUCAUUCGGCGCCUUACGGGAAAC
rnacentral:rRNA from 1 species